GCAGGGCUGGCGGAAAUGGUAGACGCACUAUCUUGAGGGGGUAGCGAUUGAAAAAUCAUGUGAGUUCGAAUCUCAUGCCCUGCACCA
rnacentral:tRNA from 1 species